UACGUAGGUGACAAGCGUUGUCCGGAUUUACUGGGCGUAAAGCGCGUGUAGGCGGCCAUGCAAGUCGGAUGUGAAAGCCCUCGGCUCAACCGGGGAAGUGCACUCGAAACUGCAAGGCUAGAGUCUCGGAGAGGAUCGUGGAAUUCUCGGUGUAGAGGUGAAAUUCGUAGAUAUCGAGGGGAACACCGGUGGCGAAGGCGGCGAUCUGGACGAUGACUGACGCUGAGACGCGAAAGCGUGGGGAGCAAACAGG
rnacentral:rRNA from 1 species